GACGAACGCUGGCGGCGUGCUUAACACAUGCAAGUCGAACGGAAAGGCCUCUUUCGGGGGGUACUCGAGUGGCGAACGGGUGAGUAACACGUGAGUAACCUGCCCUUGACUUUGGGAUAACUUCAGGAAACUGGGGCUAAUACCGGAUAGGAGCUCCUGCUGCAUGGUGGGGGUUGGAAAGUUUCGGCGGUUGGGGAUGGACUCGCGGCUUUUCAGCUUGUUGGUGGGGUAGUGGCUUACUAAGGCUUUGACGGGUAGCCGGCCUGAGAGGGUGACCGGCCACAUUGGGACUGAGAUACGGCCCAGACUCCUACGGGAGGCAGCAGUGGGGAAUAUUGCACAAUGGGUGGAAGCCUGAUGCAGCAACGCCGUGUGCGGGAUGACGGCCUUCGGGUUGUAAACCGCUUUCGCUCAUGACGAAGCUUUGUGUGACGGUAGUGGGUAAAGAAGCACCGGCUAACUACGUG
rnacentral:rRNA from 1 species